GCAGCAACAAUUCGACAGUAACUCGGGUUGGAAAAGAUAAGCGGUGAAAAUCAGAAAAACACCAGCAGCAGUAAGAGGGAGAGCUUGGAGAGAUUGUACGACCUCUGCAAGUCAUCAGAUUCUUCGUAUAGAGGAUUCUCCGUCCACGGAGACAGUCGAACCACACAAACUUAUUAAACGAUUGUGUUUCCACUCGGUUCUCU
rnacentral:misc_RNA from 1 species